UAUAGCAGCCAUAUCACCCUGCUGCCCAAAGACUGGUUGCCCACUGAAGCUAAGCAGGGUUGAGCCUGGUCAGCCUGGUCAGUACCUGGAUGGGAGACCUCCUGGGAAAACUAGGUUGCUGCUGGAA
rnacentral:rRNA from 1 species